rfam:Cavia porcellus supercont2_103 genomic scaffold, whole genome shotgun sequence.
GAUUUAGCUCAGUGGCAUGAGCACAUGCCUGGCAAGUGUGAGGUUGUGAGUUCAAUCCCCAGUAAUC